UAUUUAUAUAAAAUACAGUUUGUUCUCUCCAGGUGAAGACACGUCGGAUGCCACGUCAGAAAUUCGGCUCACGACGGCGCGACACGUGUGCGUUUCAUUUAUUCACAUUUCUCUUGGGCCUGAAGUGAACGGUAUUGGACUCUCCAUCUCUCUAAUGUUGCUUCCUCUUGGAUACUUCGCUGUAACAUUAUCUAGGUCGUCGCCGGCAAAGUGGUUAUCAUGUUCAUACGCCAGCCAUGGAAUCGCGGUGUUAUGUUGACUGAUUGGAUUUCGACAUAUCCUGUUGGACAUAGCACCGAUGACUUUUCGAAUUGCUUCUACCUACCAGUGAAAGAAAUCCAUGAACGUUACACAUUUUGGCUGAAUUCAAGCGUCGCUAUUAAUGCUCUCAUUAACGAUGGAACCCCACUCUUCACACGAUUUGUGAUUAGACAUCUCCCAUUACUUAUAUUGUGUGAUCUUCGAGUAUAAAUAUGUAAGCUUCAUCCUCUGAAAUUCAUAAGUUUAAUUUUCACAAUUGUUAGAUUUCUAAAUUACAUAGUUAAGAAUGGCUACACCUAGGUUUGACUGCUUAGGUUUUGGGAGUCACUAAAUGUUAAGCGCCGCAGAGAGCUUAUGGGUAUAGAUAUGCUCCUCCUUUAUGCGAAGGCGACUCAUUCAAGCCACCGUCAAUACCUCCUGUAGAUUCCUUUUUAUCCAGCUGCAAUCUUUCCAUGUGAAACUGAUGGAGAAGCAAUGAACUCUGUUUUAUACUAUAAAGUUUUAAAUAAUUAUUUAAAGAGCUUUCACCUCAUUUGAAGAAAGCAUUCAGAUUCCUGGUGCAAAUGGUGGUUACAGACAAUACUGAUGCAGCCCAUUUUUGUUGCAUUGGAUGGGUCAAUAACAAAGCUAAUCAAUGUCCGUGCCUCUGAGGUUUCCCUGGUAUGGUUCGCCACAAGACCAAGCACAUGGUAAACCAAGGGGAAUAAGAACUGCUAUGUUGAAACAGAGUAUCCAAGCUCACUUGAAGCUUUGCGUAAUUGAUGAGCCAAGAAAAUUACAAUCUUUAAUGAGAUUUGAUGUGAGUGGUUUAUGGGUUUAGUAAUUAGGUGUUCAAGGUGAUGCAAAGUUUGAAUUAUUAUUCUUGAUUACAUUUUGAAUUCAUAAGAACGUGAUAUUUGGUAGCUACAGCUACCAAAGAAUAUAGUUCUGAAUGUAAUAAUUGUUUCCAUUCAGUUUUAUGGGUAUUUUUGAAAGGAAAAAAGUCUAAGCCAUCAAUGAGGAAAUCAUCAGAAGUGUACAUUGUCAACCAAUUACAUGUGAAUGGACCAUUUGAAUGGAGGUGAUGUUUUGUGUGUUGGUUGUGCUUCUUGCAAUGGCUUCCCUAAAACACAUGAGAUUCAGUUGACAUAUUUUGAUCCAGGGAGCUCAGUAACAACGCCACGAUCUCAUGGUCCGACCAAAGAUGCAGUUGGGUGAACAGUCCUUUUAUUGACGCUGUUCUGUCCAAAGAGAUUCUUUGAGAUUUUUAUUUUCAGAAAUUACAUAAUUAUCUAGCAAUAAUGACAAUAACAGUAGUGUCCCUAAUUUUUUUUUGUGUUUUUGUGUAAGAUAAAUUUCACAUCAAAAUUAUUUUAAACAUUAAGUAAAUAAUAAAAUGAUAUUGUGUAUUAUUCUGUGUGUUUUAAAUAAAUAUUUUACUUCGAUUC